rnacentral:rRNA from 1 species
UACGUAUGGGGCGAGCGUUGUUCGGAAUCAUUGGGCGUAAAGGGCGUGUAGGCGGCUUGGCAAGCUUGGUGUGAAAGGUCACGGCUUAACCGUGAAUGUGCGCUGAGAACUGCCAGGCUGGAGUUUUGGGGGGGAAGCUGGAAUUCCUGGUGUAGGGGUGAAAUCUGUAGAUAUCAGGAAGAACACCGAUGGCGAAGGCAAGCUUCUAUCCAAAGACUGACGCUGAGGCGCGAAAGUGUGGGGAGCGAAC